rnacentral:misc_RNA from 1 species
UCGUUUGUUUCAAGAAAUGGCAUUGUAUACCAUUAUUCUCAACAUCCUGAACCCCUUCCGUAACCAUCGUAUUACCAUUAGCUCUGAGUACAGACCUAUAAGAGGUACGAUAACCAGGUAAGUGGUAUCAGUUCUUAGUUGUUUUCUCGUCCAGAAACAGCACUCAUUCUUUGCACAUUUGACCAGUACAGAGCUUUAGCGCAACGGAACUGGACAUUUGAUUUUGAACCGUUGUAAUAAAUUGCAACAGAAUUGCAACCGGAAAACUAGAACGUACGUCAUGAAUGAUCCAUAUCAAUUCUGAAUUUCGUAAAGGAUCAUGAUUAAUGCAUUUUGUGUUCUCAAAUCAAUUCUCCGAAAGAUCAGUUUUUUUUUUUUCUUCUAUAAGCAUAUUCUUGAAUU